GAUAGCGCAGUGUUAUACAGCUGUUAGUCAUGAAUUAUUUAUUUAUCUGAAAAUAUUCUAGCUACAAGGAUGUAUAUUCUCUAAAAGCAAAACUUAGAAGUAACUCAAGAAUUUGCGGAUGCGGUGAAACAAAUGAUGUCGUAAAGAAAUUGAGUCCUUACAGAAGGAGUGGAUGGAAACACUAACACGACCUUCAGGAAUGAAAAGCGCGAUUGCAGAAUACGUUUAGCAUGUCACUGAAAUGUAUUACUUCCGGUAUAUAUUUCAGUGAUAAUAUAUCACAGUAAAUUUAGAUCACGAUAUUAUUUGUUUAUAUAAAAAGAGGAAACAGCCUGGCGGCUUAUCUGAUGUUCAGUGAGACCCAACUCUCUGUGAACGAGUGCCGGUUGUCAGUUGUACGGAUGGACGUCCAUUGUUUGAAAUCUUAACUGAAAUAUCAAAUAGUCAUACUAUUUUACAGCUCAUUAACGGAAUAACUUGGCCGAAACACGUCCAGUAGUCGCCGAUGACGUGCAAAUUUUCAGUAAUGAAGUUACGUACUGAUGGAUCACAUUUCAGUUACAUUCUAUGUAUUUAGAUACUAAAAUUUAAAGAGAAUUAAAAAAAUUACCAAAUAUUUCCAACACUGUACUGUGGUUGUAACUUUUAUUAUAUUUUUUGUUGUUUGCGACUUA